rnacentral:rRNA from 1 species
AGGGAAUCUUCCGCAAUGGACGAAAGUCUGACGGAGCAACGCCGCGUGAGUGAUGAAGGUUUUCGGAUCGUAAAACUCUGUUGUUAGGGAAGAACAAGUACCGUUCGAAUAGGGCGGUACCUUGACGGUACCUAACCAGAAAGCCACGGCUAACUACGUGCCAGCAGCCGCGGUAAUACGUAGGUGGCAAGCGUUGUCCGGAAUUAUUGGGCGUAAAGCGCGCGCAGGCGGUCCUUUAAGUCUGAUGUGAAAGCCCACGGCUCAGCCGUGGAGGGUCAUUGGAAACUGGAGGACUUGAGUGCAGAAGAGGAAAGUGGAACUCCAUGUGUAGCGGUGAAAUGCGUAGAUAUAUGGAAGAACACCAGUGGCGAAGGCGGCUGUCUGGUCUGUAACUGACGCUGAGGCUCGAAAGCAUGGGUAGCGAAC